rnacentral:rRNA from 1 species
UACGAAGGGGGCUAGCGUUGCUCGGAAUCACUGGGCGUAAAGGGUGCGUAGGUGGGCAGGUAAGUCAGUGGUGAAAUCUUUGGGCUUAACCCGAAAACUGCCGUUGAUACUAUCUGUCUUGAAUAUAGUGGAGGUGAGCGGAAUAUGUCAUGUAGCGGUGAAAUGCUUAGAUAUGACAUAGAACAUCGAUUGCGAAGGCAGCUCGCUACACUAUGAUUGACACUGAGGCACGAAAGCGUGGGGAUCAAACAGG